GACGAACGCUGGCGGCGUGCCUAAUACAUGCAAGUAGAACGCUGAAGGAGGGGCUUGCUUCUCCGGAUGAGUUGCGAACGGGUGAGUAACGCGUAGGUAACCUGCCUGGUAGCGGGGGAUAACUAUUGGAAACGAUAGCUAAUACCGCAUAAGAGUAGAUGUCGCAUGACAUUUGCUUAAAAGGUGCAACUGCACCACUACCAGAUGGAUCUGCGUUGUAUUAGCUAGUUGGUGAGGUAACGGCUCACCAAGGCAACGAUACAUAGCCGACCUGAGAGGGUGAUCGGCCACACUGGGACUGAGACACGGCCCAGACUCCUACGGGAGGCAGCAGUAGGGAAUCUUCGGCAAUGGACGGAAGUCUGACCGAGCAACGCCGCGUGAGUGAAGAAGGUUUUCGGAUCGUAAAGCUCUGUUGUAAGAGAAGAACGAGUGUGAGAGUGGAAAGUUCACACUGUGACGGUAUCUUACCAGAAAGGGACGGCUAACUACGUG
rnacentral:rRNA from 1 species